AUUGAACGCUGGCGGCAGGCUUAACACAUGCAAGUCGAGCGGGGUGAUGGUGCUUGCACUAUCACUUAGCGGCGGACGGGUGAGUAAUGCUUAGGAAUCUGCCUAUUAGUGGGGGACAACAUCUCGAAAGGGAUGCUAAUACCGCAUACGUCCUACGGGAGAAAGCAGGGGAUCACUUGUGACCUUGCGCUAACAGAUGAGCCUAAGUCGGAUUAGCUAGUUGGUGGGGUAAAGGCCUACCAAGGCGACGAUCUGUAGCGGGUCUGAGAGGAUGAUCCGCCACACUGGGACUGAGACACGGCCCAGACUCCUACGGGAGGCAGCAGUGGGGAAUAUUGGACAAUGGGGGGAACCCUGGUCCAGCCAUGUCGGGUGUGUGAAGAAGGCCUUAUGGUUGUAAAGCACUUUAAGCGAGGAGGAGGCUCUUUUGGUUAAUACCCAAGAUGAGUGGACGUUACUCGCAGAAUAAGCACCGGCUAACUCUGUGCCAGCCGCCGCGGUAA
rnacentral:rRNA from 1 species